rnacentral:rRNA from 1 species
GAAGAUGGCCUCGCGUCUGAUUAGCUAGUUGGUAGGGUAACGGCCUACCAAGGCGACGAUCAGUAGCCGGACUGAGAGGUUGGCCGGCCACAUUGGGACUGAGAUACGGCCCAGACUCCUACGGAAGGCAGCAG